rnacentral:rRNA from 1 species
GACGAACGCUGGCGGCGUGCUUAACACAUGCAAGUCGAACGGUAAGGCCCUUCGGGGUACACGAGUGGCGAACGGGUGAGUAACACGUGGGUGAUCUGCCCUGCACUUCGGGAUAAGCCUGGGAAACUGGGUCUAAUACCGGAUAGGACCACUGCCUGCAUGGGUGGUGGUGGAAAGCUUUUGCGGUGUGGGAUGGGCCCGCGGCCUAUCAGCUUGUUGGUGGGGUGAUGGCCUACCAAGGCGACGACGGGUAGCCGGCCUGAGAGGGUGACCGGCCACACUGGGAGUGGGAUAGGGCCCAGACUCCUACGGGAGGCAGCAGUGGGGAAUAUUGCACAAUGGGCGCAAGCCUGAUGCAGCGACGCCGCGUGAGGGAUGACGGCCUUCGGGUUGUAAACCUCUUUCAGCACCGACGAAGCGCAAGUGACGGUAGGUGCAGAAGAAGGACCGGCCAACUACGUGCCAGCCGCCGCCGUAA